AACGAACGCUGGCGGCAUGCCUAACACAUGCAAUUCGAACGAGUACCUUCGGGUGCUAGUGGCGCACGGGUGAGUAACGCGUGGGAACUUGCCUUUCGGUACGGGAUAACGUUUGGAAACGAACGCUAAUACCGUAUAUGUCUUUGGAUGAAAGAUUUAUCGCCGGAAGAGGGGCCCGCGUCUGAUUAGGUAGUUGGUGAGGUAAUGGCUCACCAAGCUUUCGAUCAGUAACUGGUCUGAGAGGAUGAUCAGCCACACUGGGACUGAGACACGUGCCAGACACCUACGGGUAGCAGCAGUGGGUAAUAUUGGACAAUGGGCGCAAGCCUGAUCCAGCAAUGCCGCGUGAGUGAUGAAGGCCUUCGGGUUGUAAAGCUCUUUUACCUGCGACGAUGAUGACGGUAGCAGGAGAAUAAGCCCCGACUAACUUCGUGCCAGCCGCCGCCGUAACAC
rnacentral:rRNA from 1 species